rnacentral:misc_RNA from 1 species
UACAGAGGUCCCAAGCGUUGUUCGGAUUCACUGGGCGUAAAGGGUGCGUAGGUGGCAGGGAAAGUUCGAUGUGAAAUCUCCGGGCUCAACUCGGAAAUGGCAUUGAAAACUAUCUUGCUUGAGGGUCGGAAGGGAGACUGGAAUUCUCGGUGUAGCAGUGAAAUGCGUAGAUAUCGAGAGGAACACCAGUGGCGAAGGCGGGUCUCUGGACGACACCUGACACUGAGGCACGAAAGCUAGGGGAGCAAACAGG